ensembl:lincRNA 2610303G11Rik RIKEN cDNA 2610303G11 gene
AUUUCUCAUAGCUCAUCAUCUGACUGCUUGUCUGACUGCACAAGCAAGCCUGAGACACCUGGCCUUGGCAAGCUGCUUUGCUCCCCUCUCCUCAUAUGUCUCAGCAGCCAUUUCAGGCAAAUUACCAGGACAGCUGCUUGGGGCUGGCAGCACCAGGAGGCCAGCUUCAGCAGGAUUCAGAGAGACUACCUUUCCACGGAGGCAGAGCAUAGCUACAGGUGUCCUGGAAGAAUGCAGCCAGGACUGUUGUCAGAGAGCAAAUGUGUUGUGAAACAGUCUGAAGAAGAAGAGGAGGGGGCUUGGGGUAAGAAACAGGAGCCUUGGUGUCAGACAGACAUGGCUCUGAGUCCUACCGCAUUCACCUCCAUGGGAGGUGCUGUAGCCUAGCCACUGAAUCUUUUUUCUCUAUUGUCCUACAGACAGGGUGGCACCUGCCUCACAAGGAGAGCUGAACAGCAUGGCAGUGAUGUUUUAUAAAGGCGCUGCUAUGACUAAUAAAAAUGAUGACUUUAUUUU